rnacentral:lncRNA from 1 species
GGGACAUAGCUCUCGAAAAAUACUCCAUUUAAAACCUUGUACUCGAAAGUAACUUGUCUUCAAUGGAGGUGAUGGAGGCUUAUCUCCUGCUAGGAGCCCAGCUGGUAAGUGAUGAGCUUUAUGAAUAGUACCUCCGAAUGUGGUGGGCAUUCCAUUGUCUUGGAAUUUCCUUCCUUUCUAGAGUGUUGAGGGUGUAACUUCCUCUGCCC